rnacentral:rRNA from 1 species
UACGUAGGGUGCAAGCGUGGUCCGGAAUUAUUGGGCGUAAAGAGCUUGUAGGCGGUUUGUCGCGUCUGCUGUGAAAUUUCGGGGCUCAACCCCGAACUUGCAGUGGGUACGGGCAGACUAGAGUGUGGUAGGGGAGACUGGAAUUCCUGGUGUAGCGGUGAAAUGCGCAGAUAUCAGGAGGAACACCGAUGGCGAAGGCAGGUCUCUGGGCCACUACUGACGCUGAGAAGCGAAAGCAUGGGGAGCGAACAGG